GAUGAACGCUGGCGGCGUGCCUAAUACAUGCAAGUCGAGCGAACAGACGAGGAGCUUGCUCCUUCGACGUUAGCGGCGGACGGGUGAGUAACACGUAGGUAACCUACCUAUAAGACUGGGAUAACUUCGGGAAACCGGAGCUAAUACCGGAUAAUAUUUCGAACCGCAUGGUUCGAUAGUGAAAGAUGGCUUUGCUAUCACUUAUAGAUGGACCUGCGCCGUAUUAGCUAGUUGGUAAGGUAACGGCUUACCAAGGCAACGAUACGUAGCCGACCUGAGAGGGUGAUCGGCCACACUGGAACUGAGACACGGUCCAGACUCCUACGGGAGGCAGCAGUAGGGAAUCUUCCGCAAUGGGCGAAAGCCUGACGGAGCAACGCCGCGUGAGUGAUGAAGGUCUUCGGAUCGUAAAACUCUGUUAUUAGGGAAGACCAAACGUGUAAGUAACUGUGCACGUCUUGACGGUACCUAAUCAGAAAGCCACGGCUAACUACGUG
rnacentral:rRNA from 1 species